rnacentral:rRNA from 1 species
GAGUUUGAUCCUGGCUCAGAACGAACGCUGGCGGCGCGCCUAAUACAUGCAAGUCGAGCGAGAAGACGUAGCAAUACGUUUGUAAAGCGGCGAACGGGUGAGGAAUACAUGGGUAACCUACCCUCGAGUGGGGAAUAACUAGCCGAAAGGUUAGCUAAUACCGCAUACGACUCUUGGUCUGCGGAUCGAGAGGGAAAGCGAUACCGUGGGUAUCGCGCUCUUGGAUGGGCUCAUGUCCUAUCAGCUUGUUGGUGAGGUAACGGCUCACCAAGGCUUCGACGGGUAGCUGGUCUGAGAGGACGAUCAGCCACACUGGCACUGCGACACGGGCCAGACUCCUACGGGACGCAGCAGUAAGGAAUAUUGCGCAAUGGGCGACAGCCUGACGCAGCGACGCCGCGUGGGGGAUGAAGGUCUUCGGAUUGUAAACCCCUUUCGGCAGGGAAGAUGGAACGGGCAACCGUUCGGACGGUACCUGCAGAAGCAGCCACGGCUAACUUCGUGCCAGCAGCCGCGGUA